GACGAACGCUGGCGGCGUGCUUAACACAUGCAAGUCGAACGGAAAGGCCCUGCUUUUGUGGGGUGCUCGAGUGGCGAACGGGUGAGUAACACGUGAGUAACCUGCCCUUGACUUUGGGAUAACUUCAGGAAACUGGGGCUAAUACCGGAUAGGAGCUCCUGCUGCAUGGGGGGGGUUGGAAAGUUUCGGCGGUUGGGGAUGGACUCGCGGCUUAUCAGCUUGUUGGUGGGGUAGUGGCUUACCAAGGCUUUGACGGGUAGCCGGCCUGAGAGGGUGACCGGCCACAUUGGGACUGAGAUACGGCCCAGACUCCUACGGGAGGCAGCUGUGGGGAAUAUUGCACAAUGGGCGGAAGCCUGAUGCAGCAACGCCGCGUGCGGGAUGACGGCCUUCGGGUUGUAAACCGCUUUCGCCUGUGACGAAGCGUGAGUGACGGUAAUGGGUAAAGAAGCACCGGCUAACUACGUG
rnacentral:rRNA from 1 species